rnacentral:rRNA from 1 species
AACGAACGCUGGCGGCAUGCCUAACACAUGCAAGUCGAACGAGAACUUCGGGGCUAGUGGCGCACGGGUGCGUAACGCGUGGGAACCUGCCCUUAGGUUCGGAAUAACUCCCCGAAAGGGAUGCUAAGACCGGAUAAUGUCUUCGGACCAAAGAUUGAGGGCCGUUGGAUGGGCCUGCGUUGGAUUAGCUAGUUGGUAGGGUAAAAGCCUACCAAGGCGAGGAUCCAUAGCUGGGCUGAGAGGAGGAUCAGCCACGCUGGAGCUGAGACACGGCCCAGACUCCGACGGAAGGGAGCAGUGGGGAAUAUUGGACGCUGGACGAAGGCCUGAUGCAGCCAUGCCGGGUGAGUGAUGAAGGCCGUAGUGUUGUAAAGCUCGUUUAGACGGAAUGAUAAUGACGGUACCGGGAGAAUAAGCACCGGCUAACUCCGUG